rnacentral:rRNA from 1 species
UACGUAGGUGGCAAGCGUUGUCCGGAAUUACUGGGCGUAAAGGGCGUGUAGGCGGCUUUUUAAGUCAGACGUGAAAUCCCUGGGCUUAACCCAGGAACUGCGUUUGAAACUGGAUGGCUUGAGGACCGGAGAGGGCAGUGGAAUUCCCAGUGUAGCGGUGAAAUGCGUAGAUAUUGGGAGGAACACCAGUGGCGAAGGCGACUGCCUGGACGGCACCUGACGCUGAGGCGCGGAAGCUAGGGGAGCAAACGGG